GGGGAUGAAUCAGCAUCGACGGCGCGUCCUUUUCAUCUUUGCAAGCCGUGUGAGUUGGUACACACGUAAAUCAAAGCCAACAACAUCACAAUUGCCAACGUGAUUUCAAAGGUGAAGAACGCGAUCGCUUCGGCGUUUCGCGCUCCGAGCUUUGCUCCGGCCCUCGCUUAAUAGCGAGCUUGUUCGGACCGAUCCUCUUUCUGGCGUCUCACCGGAAAGAAUCAAUCGUCAUAUAGUGAGGCUUGGUCUCGCGUUCGUUCCAGACGCAGGAUGACCGGCUAGGAACUUGGUUUGCUCCCUUUCGUCCAUUCGCCGGGAGAGCAUUCGACACGCCGCAAGGCACACGAGUGGACCAAGCUUGUGGAAGAAAAGAGGAAAAGCCGUGUUCGGACGGGGGUGCGAUACCCCCCAUCUCCACCA
rnacentral:tmRNA from 1 species